rnacentral:rRNA from 1 species
GUGAGGAAUAUUGGACAAUGGGCGCAAGCCUGAUCCAGCCAUGCCGCGUGCAGGAAGACGCAUCUAUGGUGUGUAAACUGCUUUUGUACGGGAAGAAACACUCCCUCGUGAGGGAGCUUGACGGUACCGUAAGAAUAAGGAUCGGCUAACUCCGUGCCAGCAGCCGCGGUAAUACGGAGGAUCCAAGCGUUAUCCGGAAUCAUUGGGUUUAAAGGGUCCGUAGGCGGUUUAAUAAGUCAGUGGUGAAAGCCCAUCGCUCAACGAUGGAACGGCCAUUGAUACUGUUAGACUUGAAUUACAAGGAAGUAACUAGAAUAUGUAGUGUAGCUGUGAAAUGCUUAGAUAUUACAUGGAAUACCAAUUGCGAAGGCAGGUUACUACUUGUGGAUUGACGCUGAUGGACGAAAGCGUGGGGAGCGAACAGGAUUAGAUACCCGAGUAGUCC